rnacentral:rRNA from 1 species
AGAGUUUGAUCCUGGCUCAGAACGAACGCUGGCGGCGCGCCUAAUACAUGCAAGUCGAGCGAGAAGGUGUAGCAAUACACUUGUAAAGCGGCGAACGGGUGAGGAAUACAUGGGUAAUCUACCAUCGAGUGGGGAAUAACCAACCGAAAGGUUGGCUAAUACCGCGUACGCUUCCGAAUCUUCUGGUUUGGAAGGAAAGCCGUGCUGUGAGUACGCCGCUCUUUGAUGAGCUCAUGUCCUAUCAGCUUGUUGGUAGGGUAACGGCCUACCAAGGCUUUGACGGGUAGCUGGUCUGAGAGGACGAUCAGCCACACUGGCACUGCGACACGGGCCAGACUCCUACGGGAGGCAGCAGUAAGGAAUAUUGCGCAAUGGGCGAAAGCCUGACGCAGCGACGCCGCGUGGGGGAUGAAGGUCUUCGGAUUGUAAACCCCUUUCGGGAGGGAAGAUGGAGCGAGCAAUCGUUCGGACGGUACCUCCAGAAGCAGCCACGGCCAACUUCGUGCCAGCAGCCGCGGUAAUACGAAGGUGGCAAGCGUUGUUCGGAUUCACUGGGCGUACAGGGUGUGUAGGCGGUUUGGUAAGCCUUCUGUUAAAGCUUCGGGCCCAACCCGGAAAGCGCAGAGGGUACUGCCAGGCUAGAGGGUGGGAGAGGAGCGCGGAAUUCCCGGUGUAGCGGUGAAAUGCGUAGAGAUCGGGAGGAAGGCC